rnacentral:rRNA from 1 species
CUACGGGCGGCUGCAGUGGGGAAUCUUGGACAAUGGGCGCAAGCCUGAUCCAGCCAUGCCGCGUGAGUGAUGAAGGCCUUAGGGUCGUAAAGCUCUUUCGCCAGGGAUGAUAAUGACAGUACCUGGUAAAGAAACCCCGGCUAACUCCGUGCCAGCAGCCGCGGUAAUACGGAGGGGGUUAGCGUUGUUCGGAAUUACUGGGCGUAAAGCGCGCGUAGGCGGACCAGAAAGUUGGGGGUGAAAUCCCGGGGCUCAACCCCGGAACGGCCUCCAAAACUCCUGGUCUUGAGUUCGAGAGAGGUGGGUGGAAUUCCGAGUGUAGGGGUGAAAUUCGUAGAUAUUCGGAGGAACACCAGUGGCGAAGGCGACUCACUGGCUCGAUACUGACGCUGAGGUGCGAAAGUGUGGGGAGCAAACAGGAUUAGAUACCCGAGUAGUC